rnacentral:rRNA from 1 species
CGCCCAGCAAUGGGAGCGGCAGACGGGUGAGUAACGCGUGGGAACCUACCUUACGGUCGGGAAUAGCUCAGGGAAACUUGAGGUAAUACCGGAUACGCCCUUACGGGGAAAGAUUUAUCGCCGUUAGAUGGGCCCGCGUCGGAUUAGCUUGUUGGUGAGGUAACGGCUCACCAAGGCGACGAUCCGUAGCUGGUCUGAGAGGAUGAUCAGCCACACUGGGACUGAGACACGGCCCAG